rnacentral:rRNA from 1 species
CAGUAGCCGCGGUAAUACGGAGGGUGCAAGCGUUAAUCGGAAUUACUGGGCGUAAAGCGCACGCAGGCGGUCUGACAAGUCAGAUGUGAAAUCCCCGGGCUUAACCUGGGAACUGCAUUUGAAACUGUCAGGCUGGAGUCUUGUAGAGGGGGGUAGAAUUCCAGGUGUAGCGGUGAAAUGCGUAAAGAUCUGGAGGAAUACCGGUGGCGAAGGCGGCCCCCUGGACAAAGACUGACGCUCAGGUGCGAAAGCGUGGGGAGCAAACAGGAUUAGAUACCCCAGUAGUCCCUGUCUCUUAUAA